CGGAUCCGUUUUAAACAAGGAAGUAAAAUAUUUUAGAUCAAGGCAUAUUUUGGCGUUUUAUGGUUCUUUGUCAUGGCUUUCUCCAGUUCUAAUGACUCAGAUGAUAACUUUGACUAUUUGUUUAAAAUUGUCUUGAUUGGUGAUGCUGGAGUUGGAAAGACCUGUGUGGUACAAAGAUUUAAAUCUGGAACCUAUAUUGAAAGACACGGUAGCACAAUUGGCGUUGACUUCACAAUGAAGACACUCAUGAUUGAUGGCAAGAAAAUUAAGCUUCAAGUGUGGGAUACAGCAGGUCAAGAGAGAUUCCGUACCAUAACACAAAGUUACUACCGUAGUGCCAAUGGCGUUGUUGUUGCGUAUGAUAUCAGUAAAAUGGAGUCAUUUGAUAGUGUAUCACGUUGGUUGGAAGAUGUGAAAAGAUAUGCAGGUCCAAAUGUAGUGCAGUUGCUUAUUGGAACUAAGAGAGAUUUGGAACACAUAAGAGAAGUCCCUCUAAAAACUGCUGAACUAUUUGCCAUCCACCAUGAAAUGCUACCUGUAAUAGAGACAAGUUCCAAGGAUAAUACAAAUAUAGAGCAGGCUUUCAUCAAAAUUGCCACAGAACUUAAAGAGAGGCAUGGAGGUGGCUCAGGGCUAACAGAGGACAAUUCAAAUAAAAUAUAUCUAAAUACACAUUCCAUAGGGCGCAGUUGGGGAGCCUGCUGUGGAAAAUGAGAUCUGAACUGAGUUGAAAUGAGAAAUUUAAGCCCCGUGCAUGGAACAAUGGAAAUCAUGGUGUCAUAAAUAUUUAUUGACAAAUGACCGACUAAUACAUGUAUGUAUGGCAUCUUACAGUUGGUUAGGCCAUGCUCUGUAACACAAAUGUGUGCGAAUAGAGAAUGGUAUCAAAGCAUACAUAAUGCUUGGAUUGUGUUGAAAGCUGUAUGCCAAAACCAGAUUUAAUCAAGGGGUCAAUUUUAAAAUCUGGUGAAUUUUGCCAGAAAAUAACCAUUUUUUGUUGAACGAAAAUUCAGCCAAUUUAAGGAUUUGACUGAGCAUUUUGCUCAAAAUUUGACAUUCUUAUCUUUAAUAUUUGCUGCUAUAUUUUGCUAAUUCUUAUGUAGGAAGGAAGAAGUUGACAAUUUUUCCAAAAUUUUGCCUACAAAGAUUUGCCAAUUUUGGAGAUAUUGCCCAAAGAUAUUGUUUCCAAUAGAAAAUAUUUAAAAUUGGCCAGAAUCUUUUUACCAUAUAUAAUUCAAAGGGACCUAGACAUUUUAAUAAGGGACAUACGGCAGCUGGUGAACUAUUUAGGAUCACAUUGUCACUCA
rnacentral:misc_RNA from 1 species